CCUACGGGUGGCAGCAGUGGGGAAUAUUGCACAAUGGGGGCAACCCUGAUGCAGCGAUGCCGCGUGGAGGAAGAAGGUUUUCGGAUUGUAAACUCCUUUUAUUAGGGACGAUAAUGACGGUACCUGAAGAAAAAGCUCCGGCUAACUACGUGCCAGCAGCCGCGGUAAGACGGAGGGAGCGAGCGUUGUCCGGACUUACUGGGUGUAAAGGGAGCGUAGGCGGGUCGGUAAGUCAGAUGUGAAAACUGAGGGCUCAACGUUCAGAGUGCAGUUGAAACUGCUGUUCUUGAGUGAAGUAGAGGGAAGCGGAAUUCCUAGUGUAGCGGUGAAAUGCGUAGAUAUUAGGAGGAACAUCGGUUGCGAAGGCGGCUUACUGGGCUUUUACUGACGCUGAGGCUCGAAAGCGUGGGGAGCAAACAGGAUUAGAUACCCGAGUAGUC
rnacentral:rRNA from 1 species